AAUGCAUGGUGUGGACACUUUAUAAGCAAUUCCUUAAAUCUCUCCCAAGAUAUGUACUAAUUCUCCAUUUAGUUAGGUGAAUGAGGAUAUGUCAUUCCUAAGGUU